rnacentral:snoRNA from 1 species
AGGCCGUGAUGGGGACACUUGCGUAAUAGCUCCUUGAACCUUUCCCAUGUUUCAUAUAAGGAUUCCCCGUCCUCUUGUGAGUAUGUAUUUAUUUCAGCCAUUAAUUU